CGAGGAGGAGGAGGAGAAAAUUCCCCCAGAUUCGGGCAGGCCCGCACCCCACAUUCCGUCCUGUUUUGAGAGGAGGAGGGAAGAGAAAUAAACGUGGCAGCGCAUAGAAGGCCAGCAGGGAGACUGCUUUCCAGACACCUCCGGCCCACACAGCCGUUCACCCCCCGUCUUUUCAGUCCUGGAAAAGGAAUUCGGGUCUGUCUUCCUUUUGGGCUCUGUGCAACUGCAGCUACAGUGGAAAAAAGCAAACUGCUCUUGAUCCCAGGCCCUGCCUAAGCCUCAGCAGAACUUGUAAGCCUAAACUGAAGAGCCUCACCCGGACGAGCAGGCAUCCCUUAACCUUAAGCAAUCCAGUUCCACGCCCUGGAUCAGUGAAUAACCCCAGCUGCACCAUGAGCCGCGUUCGGGAUGCUGGCUGUGUAGCGGCGGGGAUAGUGAUAGGGGCUGGUGCCUGGUACUGUGUCUACAAAUACACCAGGGGGAGAGACCAGACCAAGAAGAGAAUGGCCAAGCCCAAAAACCGGGCUGUGGCUGGGACUGGAGCCAGGGCUAGAGCUGGGCUAAGAGCCGGAUUCACAAU
rnacentral:lncRNA from 10 species